GAGUUUGAUCAUGGCUCAGAUUGAACGCUGGCGGCAUGCCUUACACAUGCAAGUCGAACGGCAGCAUGAUCUAGCUUGCUAGAUUGAUGGCGAAUGGCGAACGGGUGAGUAAUACAUCGGAACGUGCCCUGUAGUGGGGGAUAACUAGUCGAAAGAUUAGCUAAUACCGCAUACGACCUGAGGGUGAAAGUGGGGGACCGCAAGGCCUCAUGCUAUAGGAGCGGCCGAUGUCUGAUUAGCUAGUUGGUGGGGUAAAGGCCCACCAAGGCGACGAUCAGUAGCUGGUCUGAGAGGACGAUCAGCCACACUGGGACUGAGACACGGCCCAGACUCCUACGGGAGGCAGCAGUGGGGAAUUUUGGACAAUGGGCGAAAGCCUGAUCCAGCAAUGUCGCGUGUGUGAAGAAGGCCUCGGUUGUAAG
rnacentral:rRNA from 1 species